rnacentral:rRNA from 1 species
GAGAACGCGGGGCGUGCUAAUACAUGCAAGUAGAACUUGAAGGAGGAGCUUCUUCUCUGGAUGAGUUGCGAACGGGUGAGUAACGCGUAGGUAACCUGCCUGGUAGCGGGGGAUAACUAUUGGAAACGAUAGCUAAUACCGCAUAAGAGUAGAUGUUGCAUGACAUUUGCUUAAAAGGUGCAAUUGCAUCACUACCAGAUGGACCUGCGUUGUAUUAGCUAGUUGGUGGGGUAACGGCUCACCAAGGCGACGAUACAUAGCCGACCUGAGAGGGUGAUCGGCCACACUGGGACUGAGACACGGCCCAGACUCCUACGGGAGGCAGCAGUAGGGAAUCUUCGGCAAUGGACGGAAGUCUGACCGAGCAACGCCGCGUGAGUGAAGAAGGUUUUCGGAUCGUAAAGCUCUGUUGUAAGAGAAGAACGAGUAUGAGAGUGGAAAGUUCACACUGUGACGGUAUCUUACCAGAAAGGGACGGCUAACUACGUGCCAGCAGCCGCGGUAAUACGUAGGUGGCAAGCGUUAUCCGGAUUUAUUGGGCGUAAAGAGAGUGCAGGCGGUUUUCUAAGUCUGAUGUGAAAGCCUUCGGCUUAACCGGAGAAGUGCAUCGGAAACUGGAUAACUUGAGUGCAGAAGAGGGUAGUGGAACUCCAUGUGUAGCGGUGGAAUGCGUAGAUAUAUGGAAGAACACCAGUGGCGAAGGCGGCUACCUGGUCUGCAACUGACGCUGAGACUCGAAAGCAUGGGUAGCGAACAGG